CAAUAGCGUAUAUUAAAGUUGUUGCAGUUAAAAAGCUCGUAGUUGGAUUUCUGGUUGAAGCGACCGGUCGGGCGUGGAUUCGUCUGCACUGGAGUCGGUUUUGGCCAUCCUCUAGGAAAGUGCGUCUGGUAUUAAGUUAUCGGGCGUAUGAUCCUGGUCUUUUACUGUGAAAAAAUUAGAGUGUUUAAAGCAGGCCUUCGCCUUGAAUACAUUAGCAUGGAAUAAUAAGAUAGGACUUUGGUCUAUUUUGUUGGUUUGCAGACCGAAGUAAUGAUUAAUAGGGAUAGUUGGGGGUAUUUAUAUUCCGAUGUCAGAGGUGAAAUUCUUAGAUUUUCGGAAGAUAAACUUAUGCGAAAGCAUUUACCAAGGAUGUUUUCAUUAA
rnacentral:rRNA from 1 species